UACGGGGGGUGCAAGCGUUGUUCGGAAUUACUGGGCGGAAAGGGCUCGUAGGUGGCCAGCUAAGUCGUACGUGAAAUCCCUCAGCUUAACUGGGGAACUGCGUCUGAUACUGGAUGGCUUGAGUUUGGGAGAGGGAUGCGGAAUUCCAGGUGUAGCGGUGAAAUGCGUAGAUAUCAGGAGGAACACCGAUGGCGAAGGCAGGUCUCUGGGCCACUACUGACGCUGAGAAGCGAAAGCAUGGGGAGCGAACAGG
rnacentral:rRNA from 1 species